UGAACAUCUCCCUAGCGUUUACUUCUUUUUCCACCUCCGGACAGCUUCCUCUCUACGAAACCUCCUAGGUUCUCUCUCUGCCGCCAUGGAAGGUUGUAAUCAGGCAUCGGCUCAUCUAACAGGAUCAUGUGGACUGACAAUCAAAACUUCCCUAGCAACUUUGAAGCCAAGAGCACAAGAAUGAUGGAGAUUACAUAUUCACGAACUCUGUGAAACAUGGUAGAUGCGAUGAUAGCAAGAGAUAUAAUUUAUGGGAAAUGACAUUCAUGAAGCAAUGAUCUAAUAAAGUUAUAUCCUGACGUAGCAAGGUUAUAGCGUGCUAAUUUUUAAUCUUCUAUUCUAACCCCGGGAGCUAUCCAUCCACCCUACCCUCCUUCAGUCUCUUUAACAGCCCUUCUGUUUGAGGAAUUUUCCAAGUGAGUAAACUGUGCAUUUCCCCCCUAAUAUUGUCAACUUUUUUAGGAUAUGUUCAUAUCAAUAAUAGUUUAUUCAAAAAAUGUAAGGGGUACUGAGUAGGAUACUUAGAAUUUUUUUUUUUCCCCUGGAUAUUGCUGUUAGUACUAAUGUUGGUGAUGUCUCUAAUAAUUUUUAUUUUUUAAUAGUUUUGUUUAUGUUUUAACUUUUUUGGUGGUGUUGUUAUGGUUGUGUUCCAAAGCUAAAGAACAUUGGACUUAACUCUGAAAGUAAUAAAAAUGCGGAUUUGCAACCUGGAUAGAUUGAGCUCGCCUAGGUUUUUUGGUUUCUUUGUUGCAGAUAACGGCGUGUUCAAAGCUGGAUUUCUAACAGAGAGUUUGGAAGGCAUAUGAAGCAAAGAGGUGAGUUCGAAAUCUAUAAUCUGUGGAUUGUUUUGGAAGAUUUUUAAGGCAUUGAUUACGAGCUUUGUUUGGGUAUAUGAUUGUUUACUACAUGCCCACAUGAAAGCAUGAAACACUUACAUAAACCAUAGCAAAUGUGCUCAAUUAAUUUACUGAGACAGUAUAUUUACUGGAGUUUUAACUGUGCGUGCUCUAUGAAAGGCUUGUUGAAGUACAAUAAAUGAUCUUGGCUAAGCAUUUCUUAAGAUAUUGAAACAUUCUAUUAACAAGAUGAAAGUCAUAAGUUCAAUGCAAAUAUGCUUGACUAACUUUUAGCUGGAGAAAAAUGGUUGUCAACGUAGGAAUUAUAGGGGCAGUGUUCCCUAAAUUCUCUUCCCAGUCCCAUCCGUUUUGGAUAAAUUUGAGCUUCAAGUGCUCCAUUUUCACACCAACUGCCUCAUAAAUGUACACAAAUAAGGGGCAGUUGUUACCGUUCCUUUGCACCCCCUUUUGGGUUCUGGCUAAUUGAAAUUCAAGAUCGAGUAGAAGGCUUCUUUUUGGGAACAUUUGAGGAAUUAAUGAAAGAAAAAAAUGGGAGUUAUGCACAAUGCUCCUAUUACAUUGCAUAUUUUGAUUAUUUAGAUGAUAACAUAACAGUAAGGAAAUAAUUUUUUGGAAAGCCAUAAAGAACCAAUGUAGUGGUGCUGGUUACUGGCCCUUGUUCUUAGGUUAUGACCUAAAACAUUUUGAGUGCAAUCUAUACAUGCACCACUCCUUAGAUCCAUUAACAGAAAAUCAAUAUGAUGAAGCCAUGGUAGAGAAUUUAUGGUUAAUGAAUAAAAAGUAACGACAGAGUGAGAAAGGAGAGAGCCACAAUGAACAAGGUGAUGAUUCAUAGGACCUGCAAGGGUAUAUGGUUUGUCCUCCAUUUUCACUUUAAGAUACCGACAAUGGAAGCACUUUGUUAUUAUAAGGUUUGAAAUCCAGGGAGAUAAAAGUAGGAAAAAAGUGAAGGAAAAGGAACUUAUGAUUGAGAUUUAGACUAGGGGGUUCGGGUGUAGAGUGUAGACAGGUAUCCAACACACAUGAAUAUAAAGUUACUUCCACCUUCUAUAACAAAAUCAUGAUAGUUUGAGUUUUGCUUAAGAGAGAGGAUUCCUCGUGGAUUUUCUGUUAAGGUUUUUGCUUCAAAAUUAAGGGAUGUAGAGGGUGAACAGUAUAACAUAGAAUCAUGUUUCUGCUUAUACUAAUACCAAAAUUAUCUUUUCUCAUGGUUGUUGUUGCAGUUUAAACUUUAAAAAAAAAAACAGAAGGGGAAAAAAACCUUGUGAUGCUUAAGUGCUAAUUUGAAGUUUCUCUGUCUUAAUUCCAAUAUUAAUCCUGUUGGUAAACACUAACACAUUUUAUAGGUUACAAUGUAUAUGAUUAUAAUCAUUUUCAAUCACUUAUCUUAGACAUUAUUCACUUAAAUAUCAUCAUGAAAUGAAAGAUGGACAGUGUUUUCUCUCUUCACUUAUCUUGAUUUACCCUCCUUUUAAAAAAUCCUUUUGCUUUAGAAGGUCUAAAUCAUUUGCUUGUCUAUUCUCAUUUCUCCAAAUACUCUCAAAAAUAGGGCGGUGCACUCUCAUAUCUUCAUGUUAAAGCAUCUUUUUUUAACAAACACCAAAUGGUAGAACGUGACUUGUAAUGAUAGUAUGGGACCCCUUUUUGCAAUCCCUCUUGUGUUAUCUAUAUUCGUUUUCGCCACAAAUAUUCACCCGAUUAAAGAUUUCAAAUCUGUUAUUAUUGCAAAUAGGUUAUGGUUUAUUGGUGAUCACAUGAUUAUCUUAUUCGACUUUUUACUAAUUCUCCCAAAAGCUUCAUCAAGUCUUUGAAGUUUUCACUAUGAAACAACAAAAAACUGUCAUGCAUUUGGACAUACAGCUUUUUGUUCUUGAUGAUAAAUUGACUUUGUUAUCAAAGACUAGCUAUGCUACUUGAAUUUGUGUUGAAGCCUGUUGAUGCUACAAAUCAAGGCCAUUAAGAUAUUGGGAAUCUUUUCAACAGUUGCUGCAUGCUUAUGUUUGUGUUAAUGCGUAUCAAGUCUAAAUCUUGACUUAGGUUAAGGUAGUUCACAUGUCUAGUUGUUUUAUCUUCAAACCCUAAUAAUUUUGCCCUCCACUCGAGGAUUGAAAAUGUUACUAUUCAUGUGAGGGACACAGUAAGUGGUGACUCUGAAGUCAACAUUAAUAGAGUGUUUAGUCAGUGUUUUUUGAAGGAGAAUUUUUUUUUUUUUUUAUAUUGACCCCACUGCAAGUCCACUUCUUCACUUUUAUUUCACCCAAUCUUGUUAAUUGAGUAUGUUCAAUUCUUUCAUCAUUCUAUGUGGAACCCCCCAACACCUUUUUCCUCCUCCCUUUGUUAUAGCACCUUCAGUCUCUCUUGAUUUGUCCUUUCCCCAGCUUUGUACCUUGUUUUAGUUUGUAUAAUUCUUUGCCCUUCAACAAUUUGUAUACACAUCGGGCACCUUAACUUGUUUAUUCGCAGUAUCGACCCAUAAAUUUUGUGCAAUCAGGCUGUUGUUAAUGGAUAUACAUAGUUAUUGAUGAUAUUUUCAUAACAUAGUACUAGUAAUUAGUAGUGUGAAUAAUCCCGGUGUUAAGACCUUGAUUUUUGAAUUUUUUUUUCCCUGAAAAAUGUUUGUUGUCAAUUAUGGGUAUGAUCAGACUUGGGUGUUGGAUCAUGGCAAUCAUGGAUUUUCCAAUCUCCUGUUGGUUUAUGCUAUAUGUGAUUCUUUUGUCUGCAGAUCUCCAAACAAUGACCAAGUACAUAACCAUUUAGUUAUGGUUAUCUACUUGAUCAACUAUUAACUAUUAAUUAAUUUGGCGUGGAAGAAUCCAAAAAUAGAAAUAGUGGUCCACUUUGAUGCAUGCAAUAGACUUACAAGAUGCUGUCAUAGACUGUUAAGAGUGCUUUGGUUGUGUUUCCUACUCAUCUUGCUUUUUGAACCAAGCUAGAUCGCUCUCAGCACCGGGAACCAAGACUCAAGGUACGUUCUGAUUGAAUAUUUCUCACAUUUGCACAUUAUAUGUAUAUAUAGAGGAAUAUAUUCCACUGCAAGUAAAUGGAACAUCUCCAGACAAAAAAAAAAAGAAAAAGAAAGUAAAUGGAACAUAUUAGAGAAACAUUAAAAGGGUUUGUUUGGUGUUUUUCUCUGUGGUUUCUAAAAUGGGCAACUAAACUUUUUUUUAGAUUGUUUUCUGUUUUUCAAAAAAUGAAUAAUUAUCUUGAAUCUUAAACUGGCAUGAAUUAUUUUGAACUAGGUAAAAAUAAACACUAUUAAAGGGCAAAAAACUGAAGAUAAUUAUUAUCGAAAAAGAAAAUUAAAAGAACUGAAUAUUAUUUGUCUAGAGGACAUAAGGACAAAACCGUAAUGUGAAAAGUGUAGAGAGGCUGAGCAACCGUUAAUGGCGGAAAGGAAUUACAAAUGCCGCACGCGUAGAGGGAAGGCACGCCCCAGUCGUGUCAUCAUUCCACCAUUUUUCUUCU